GUUAGAUACAGCAUGGGAUUGUGAGUGCUGUUAUGUAAUGCAGAAGGCUUGGACGCUGACUUUUUGUUUGGGGAUGGAUUCAUUACUGGCGCCUCAUGCCAGUUAUGUCAACUGUUAUGUCAAUUAACCACAUUCAUAAUUCACACUAAUGAUGAUCCCUGACGGGAUGUGCAGGAUUGCUCAUGUAGGUUAUUCUCAUGCAAACCGACAUGCACUGCUGCACACAUGUGAUGUUCAGAUUAGAAGACACAUGAACAAUCCAUACACACACACACACACACACACACACACACACACACACACACACACACACACAUAUUCCUGCUCCUGCCCUGGCUGUAAAAUAAAAUGUCUGUGCCACAAUGAUAAAACUUUAAUGGUAGGAUUUAGAGUGC
ensembl:lncRNA